ACACUCCCAGCUGUGCCUGGCUAUGACUAGUUGUGCAUUCUAGAGCUCUUUAGAGCUACUUCAGAGUUGCAGGAUAAAGAUUUCUAGGGAAGAGGGCAGGGCCAGGCGCCCGGAGGAUUUCCAGCCACGGGUAGUUUACCGAGAGAAAAAGCUGCGGGCGUCGCUCCCUCUUUUACAUAAGAAAGGCUAAGCUCUAAAAGGCAGACAACUUCUUCCUGGCCCUUCGGAGAAGCUAGCCCUUGGAACCUAGGCCCUGAGUCGUGAGGAAGAGGAAAGACUACAUGGGGUCACUAUGUAAGGUGUUCCUGGUGACAGCUCCUGCUGAGGACCCAGCUGACAGCAAGCACCAACCUCCAGACAACAAGAGCUUUCUUCUGGCACAUCUGGUUUAUGUGAAUACAUUAGUGAGUUUCCCAGGAAGCCGCAGCAUCACACAAAGGCCCAUGAUCAUUUC
rnacentral:lncRNA from 1 species